GCCAACGUGGCAUAGUGGUUUGAGUGCUGGACUAUGAUUUUGGAGACCAGGGUUUGAUUCCUAGCUUGGGCA
rnacentral:tRNA from 1 species